UGGGGAAUUUUGGACAAUGGGCGCAAGCCUGAUCCAGCAAUGCCGCGUGCAGGAUGAAGGCCUUCGGGUUGUAAACUGCUUUUGUACGGAACGAAACGGCGAGCUCUAAUACAGUUUGCUAAUGACGGUACCGUAAGAAUAAGCACCGGCUAACUACGUGCCAGCAGCCGCGGUAAUACGUAGGGUGCAAGCGUUAAUCGGAAUUACUGGGCGUAAAGCGUGCGCAGGCGGUUAUGUAAGACAGAUGUGAAAUCCCCGGGCUUAACCUAGGAACUGCAUUUGUGACUGCAUAGCUAGAGUACGGUAGAGGGGGAUGGAAUUCCGCGUGUAGCAGUGAAAUGCGUAGAUAUGCGGAGGAACACCGAUGGCGAAGGCAAUCCCCUGGACCUGUACUGACGCUCAUGCACGAAAGCGUGGGGAGCAAACA
rnacentral:rRNA from 1 species